rnacentral:tRNA from 1 species
GCUGUGGCUGAGUGGUAGGGCAUCUGCUCGGUACGCAGAAGGUCCCAGGUUCAAUCCCUGCCAUCUCCA